ACGCAACCUAACACAAAAUUCAGUUAUCUGCUAGCAGAUAUCUGAGUUAUCUGCUAGCAGAUAACUGAAUUUUGUGUAGGUUGCGU
rnacentral:miRNA from 1 species